AUCGACAGGAUCUUGGCGAUAUAGGGGAUCAGCGGCAGGUUCAGCACCAAGAGCACAAGAUUGCCGAUGAACAUCGAGAUAAUAACAGCCCAGAAAAUCUCGGGCGUGUCCGUCAUCAGACGUGGCCC
rnacentral:ncRNA from 1 species